rnacentral:rRNA from 1 species
UACGUAGGGUGCGAGCGUUGUCCGGAAUUAUUGGGCGUAAAGAGCUCGUAGGCGGUCUGUCGCGUCGAAUGUGAAACCCGGGGCUCAACUCCGGGCUUGCAUUCGAUACGGGCAGGCUAGAGUUCGGUAGGGGAGUCUGGAAUUCCUGGUGUAGCGGUGAAAUGCGCAGAUAUCAGGAGGAACACCGGUGGCGAAGGCGGGUCCCUGGGCAGUAACUGACGCUGAGGAGCGAAAGCGUGGGGAGCGAACAGG